rnacentral:rRNA from 1 species
UACGGAGGAUGCGAGCGUUAUCCGGAUUUAUUGGGUUUAAAGGGUGCGUAGGCGGAUUUUUAAGUCAGCGGUAAAAUGUCCGGGCUCAACCCGGGCCGGCCGUUGAAACUGGGGAUCUUGAGUGGGCGAGAAGUAUGCGGAAUGCGUGGUGUAGCGGUGAAAUGCAUAGAUAUCACGCAGAACUCCGAUUGCGAAGGCAGCAUACCGGCGCCCGACUGACGUUGAGGCACGAAAGCGUGGGGAUCGAACAGG